CCGAAAGGUAUGCUAAUACGGGAUAAUAUAUUUGAGAGGCAUCUCUUGAAUAUCAAAGGUGAGCCAGUACAGGAUGGACCCGCGUCUGAUUAGCUAGUUGGUAAGGUAACGGCUUACCAAGGCGACGAUCAGUAGCCGACCUGAGAGGGGGAUCGGCCACAUUGGAACUGAGACACGGUCCAAACUCCUACGGGAGGCAGCAGUGGGGAAUAUUGCACAAUGGGCGAAAGCCUGAUGCAGCAAC
rnacentral:rRNA from 1 species